GAUGAAGAACGUAGCGAAAUGCGAUAAGUAAUGUGAAUUGCAGAAUUCAGUGAAUCAUCGAAUCUUUGAACGCACAUUGCGCCCGCCAGUAUUCUGGCGGGCAUGCCUGUUCGAGCGUCGUUUCAACCAUCAAGCCCCAGGCUUGUGUUGGGGACCUGCGGCUGCCGCAGGCCCUGAAAACCAGUGGCGGGCUCGCUGUCACACCGGGCGUAGUAGAUUUUAUCUCGCUCAGGGCGUGCUGCGGGUUCCGGCCGUUAAAAAGCCUUUUUUACCCAAGGUUGACCUCGGAUCAGGUAGGAAGACCCGCUGAACUUAAGCAUAUCAAUAAGCGGAGGA
rnacentral:misc_RNA from 1 species